GCCCUUGUAGUUGAAUGGAUACAAUAUCUCCCUCCGAAGGAGGUGGUGGUGGUUCGAUUCCACCCAAGGGCACAA
rnacentral:tRNA from 1 species